AAAAAUGCAACCUCUCUUACACUGACCAACAUAACUAAGUACAAAUGAAGUCAAUGGUGUAUCCCAUUAGCAUGCUGCGGUGUAUGUCAGUAAACAAGCCCUCCCCGCCCCAGCCCUGGCAAACAGAUAAAUGAUUGUGCACUGCGUGAUGAUACCUUUAGGUGAGAACUUUGGUUCAUGCAGUUGGCUGCCAUAGACAUUGCACCCAAAACCCGCAGCCCUGGCACCCAAAGUCAGUCAGCGGUGGUAGCUCCUGGUGUCAGCAAUGCUCCUUCCAUAACACCAGGUGAAUACUGUGGUCAGGCAUGCUGGUGGCAAAGACUAAGCCCGUGUCAUUGUGCCCAUCCAAUCCAUUCAACCAGGACGCUUCGCCUGCCAGGAAGCUGGAGCCUCUCUUUGAUUUCCUGUACUCUGGCAGAGGCCAGCGGCUAAUUAGGCUCUCUGUCCUCAAGUCCAUGAUAUAUAGGUAGUGGUUGUCAAACAGCAGGGCGAAGACAUCUCCAAAGCCAAGCAAGGCCAAGUUUGCUACCUCAGGUGUCUUGAUGACCCUAUAAGGAGGAGAGUUCAGGGUCAUGAGGCAAAGGAAACAUGGCUGGAGACACUUAAAACUCCCAAGCAAAUUUAGAGCUAAUAAGAAUUUUUGAUUAAAAGAAUACCAUGAGGAUAAAAGUUAGCCUACUUACAAAAAGCAGGGAAGAAGAAACCUGCCCUCUGACAGACAAGCAGAGGCAAGGUGUUAUGUUUGAUAAACACAAAAUAUCCAUCCAGGCUUGAAAGGAUUCUACAGGUUAACUUAUAAUUCAAAUUAUAAAAACCACUUUAUUUAAUCAUUUGCACUCUUAAGACUUAGAAACUGACACCCAGGCAGGAGUUCACAGAAUCUGUUGGUUAGGGGUGAAAACCAGAAUGAAGCCUGAUUCAUCCUCAGGACAAGUCUAAAUGGCUUUUUCUCUAAAAAUACUACUAGCUAGAGAUAGUAAAAACUGCUGGGAAUUUAUAAGCAUCUAUUAACAAUGGAUUCAUAGGUUUUAGAAACAACUGGCUAAGUUGGAAAAUCAGUCACAGCUUUCAUAGGGUGGCAGUUCCCAAAUACCAAUGACCAAGACACAAAAUGGGAGACCUAAUGCAAUAUAUGCACCAAUGAAAAAAGAAAAACAAAAAUCAAAGCAGCUUCCCUGUGUCAAGCACCAGAUUGACAGGACAAGUCAGAUGUUGUCUGGAGUCUACACUUUCCCACGGCAACCUCCUUAGGCUCCUUUGGUUGGGAGGUUAGUUUAGAUGUUAACAAGGACACCAGCAAUAUCUUAGACCAGCUUAUGUCUAAGAGGCCAACUAGAACGGGGGUGGCUGGUAAACUCGGUGAAGCAAGAACAGCCAAGGAUAAUAGCUAGAGCAGCGUUUGAGUAGAACAACCCUUUCACAGGGGUCUAAGACCACUGGAAAAUACAGAUGUUUGCGAUUCAUAACAGUAGCAAAAGUUAUAGUUAUGAAGUAGCAAUGAAAUAAUUCUAUGGCUGGUGUCACUACAAAAUGAGGAAGAUUGAGAACCUCUGAGCUAGAGUAAGCAAAACAGAAUGUCAGGAAGGGAAACAACACAUUAUUACUGUCAAACAGCAGAGUGUGGAUAGAGAAGGCCUCCCAUUACAACUUCUAGAAAACAGAACUAGGUUCAAAGGAAAAGUUACCAUCACCACCACCACCCCACCACCCAGAUUUGAAUUUGACAUUAGGAAGGGAGGGCCAUUUUUUUAACCUAUCAUUUACCAUGUGUUGGGCAUAAAACUUCUAAUUAACACAGAGCACAUGCUGGCCUAAGGAAACAUUACCUGAGAAUAUCAUAACUGGCAAAGUCCCACUGGUACAGACCCAGGGCUGAACUACAGACAAUGUAUUUUCCAUCAAAAUGAAGUCUUGGCUGCAGGCAGAUACUUCUAUCCUCAGAGACAGACAGUGUCUUCAAGCACUUACAGUUGAUUUCUCUCCCAAUUGGCCAAAUCUAAAAAGGGGGGAUGGUGAUUACUAAAGAAAAGUUGGUGUUUAUACAAUGUGGCUUGAAGAAAGAAAGACAAAAGUGGCACCUGUUAAUAGACAAAAAGGGAAUAGUGCCAGGACUUCUGUUUUAGUCAAGAGUCACAGGCUUAAGUCCUGAGUCUAUAUGGUCUUAGGUAAACUAUUUAACCUUUCUAAAUAAAGAUAAUGCCCACUACAAAGAAAGUUUUAAAAUGC
rnacentral:lncRNA from 1 species